GAGGACCUAGAUCACCCCUC
rnacentral:misc_RNA from 1 species